AGUGAACGCUGGCGGUAGGCCUAACACAUGCAAGUCGAACGGCAGCACAGUAAGAGCUUGCUCUUACGGGUGGCGAGUGGCGGACGGGUGAGGAAUACAUCGGAAUCUACUUUUUCGUGGGGGAUAACGUAGGGAAACUUACGCUAAUACCGCAUACGACCUACGGGUGAAAGCAGGGGAUCUUCGGACCUUGCGCGAUUGAAUGAGCCGAUGUCGGAUUAGCUAGUUGGCGGGGUAAAGGCCCACCAAGGCGACGAUCCGUAGCUGGUCUGAGAGGAUGAUCAGCCACACUGGAGCUGAGACACGGUCCAGACUCCAACGGGAGGCAGCAGUGGGGAAUAUUGGACAAUGGGCGCAAGCCUGAUCCAGCCAUACCGCGUGGGUGAAGAAGGCCUUCGGGUUGUAAAGCCCUUUUGUUGGGAAAGAAAAGCAGCAGGUUAAUACCCCGCUGUUCUGACGGUACCCAAAGAAUAAGCACCGGCUAACUUCGUG
rnacentral:rRNA from 1 species